AAUUGAUGAUAGGGAAAACUAGCGCAUAAUCGCUUGAACCUUUCUCAUUACUCGUACAAAGUCUCUCCAGUGAGUUACGUAAUACCAUAAAUUUCAUUUCUGAUGUU